CGGAGAAGGCGCCUGACAUACGGCUACCACAUCCAAGGAAGGCAGCAGGCGCGCAAAUUACCCAAUCCCGACACGGGGAGGUAGUGACAAUAUGUAACAAUAUACGGCUUUAUUGUCGUAUAAUUGGAAUGAGUACAAUUUAAAUCCCUUAACGUGGAACAAUUGGAGGGCAAGUCUGGCGCCAGCAGCCGCGGUAAUUCCAGCUCCAAUAGCGUAUAUUAAAGUUGUUGCAGUUAAAAAGCUCGUAGUUGGACCUUGGGCCUGGACAGGCGGUCCGCCUCACGGCGUGUACUGUCUUGCUGGGCCUUUCCCCUUGGUGAUCUGUGGUUUCGGCCGCAGGGAACCAGGACCUUUACUUUGAAAAAAUUAGAGUGUUCAAAGCAGGCUUUACGCCAGAAUAUAUUAGCAUGGAAUAAUAAAAUAGGACGUGCGGUUCUAUUUUGUUGGUUUUUGGGAUCGCCGUAAUGAUUAAUAGGGACAGUCGGGGGCAUUAGUACUCACAUGCUAGAGGUGAAAUUCUUGGAUUUUGUGAAGACUA
rnacentral:rRNA from 1 species